rnacentral:tmRNA from 1 species
GGGGCUGACUUGGCUUUCGACAGGAGUGAAGAGGCUUAAGUGCAUGUGAGCUAGCAAGCUCUCAAACUGCUACUAAAUUUAAACGCAAACAAUUCAAAUUACGCUCCAGCUUACGCAAAAGUCGCGUAAGUUUAUCGCUUUUUGGAGCCGGAUAUGGUAUUUCCCUCUAGCAGAAAGCCUUAUCUGUCAUUCACCGCUAGAUGCUCUUUUGCCCAAGCCGAAGGCAAAAGAAAAGAAUAGGCUGCUUGUGGGCAUUAUCUUGGGGUAUUGGAUAACCACAAAAAGACAUCAAUACCUACUAAACAUGUAGAUUCUUAAGAAGCUCUCAUUUUUGGACUGGGGUUCAACUCCCCACAGCUCCACCA